rnacentral:rRNA from 1 species
GCAGGCAGCCGCGGGAAUACGUAGGGUGCGAGCGUUAAUCGGAAUUACUGGGCGUAAAGCGUGCGCAGGCGGUUGUGUAAGACAGGUGUGAAAUCCCCGGGCUUAACCUGGGAACUGCGCUUGUGACUGCACAGCUAGAGUAUGGCAGAGGGGGGUGGAAUUCCACGUGUAGCAGUGAAAUGCGUAGAUAUGCGGAGGAAUACCGAUGGCGAAGGCAAUCCCCUGGGCCUGCACUGACGCUCAUGCACGAAAGCGUGGGGAGCAAACAGGAUUAGAUACCCGUGUAGUCCCUGUCUCUUAUA